rnacentral:rRNA from 2 species
UGGGGAAUAUUGCACAAUGGACGGAAGUUUGAUGCAGCGACGCCGCGUGGAGGGUGUAGGCCUUCGGGUUGUGAACUCCUUUUUCUCGUGAAAAAGGCAUGCUUUUGGGUGUGUUGAUGGUAGCGGGGGAAGAAGCGCCGGCUAACUACGUGCCAGCAGCCGCGGUAAUACGUAGGGCGCGAGCGUUGUCCGGAUUUAUUGGGCGUAAAGAGCUCGUAGGUGGUUCGUCGCGUCUGUCGUGAAAGCCAGCAGCUUAACUGUUGGUCUGCGGUGGGUACGGGCGGGCUUGAGUGCGGUAGGGGUGACUGGAAUUCCUGGUGUAGCGGUGGAAUGCGCAGAUAUCAGGAGGAACACCGAUGGCGAAGGCAGGUCACUGGGCCGUUACUGACGCUGAGGAGCGAAAGCGUGGGGAGCGAACAGGAUUAGAUACCCUGGUAGUCCACGCUGUAAACGUUGGGAACUAGGUGUGGGGAUGCUAUCCUGUGUUUCUGCGCCGUAGCUAACGCAUUAAGUUCCCCGCCUGGGGAGUACGGCCGCAAGGCUAAAACUCAAAGGAAUUGACGGGGGCCCGCACAAGCGGCGGAGCAUGCGGAUUAAUUCGAUGCAACGCGAAGAACCUUACCAAGGCUUGACAUACACUGCGACAUGCCAGAGAUGGUGUGGCCUUCGGGGUGGUGUACAGGUGGUGCAUGGUUGUCGUCAGCUCGUGUCGUGAGAUGUUGGGUUAAGUCCCGCAACGAGCGCAACCCUUGCCUCAUGUUGCCAGCACGUUAUGGUGGGGACUCGUGAGGGACUGCCGGGGUUAACUCGGAGGAGGGUGGGGAUGACGUCAAAUCAUCAUGCCCCUUAUGUCUUGGGCUUCACGCAUGCUACAAUGGCCAGUACAGAGGGUUGCGAUACCGUGAGGUGGGGCUAAUCUCUUAAAGCUGGUCUCGGUUCGGAUUGGGGUCUGCAACUCGACCCCAUGAAGUUGGAGUCGCUAGUAAUCGCAGAUCAGCAUUGCUGCGGUGAAUACGUUCUCGGGCCU